rnacentral:rRNA from 1 species
UUCUUAUGGAGAGUUUGAUCCUGGCUCAGGACGAACGCUGGCGGCGUGCUUAACACAUGCAAGUCGAGCGGAAAGGCCCUUUCGGGGGUACUCGAGCGGCGAACGGGUGAGUAACACGUGAGUAAUCUGCCCUGGACUCUGGGAUAGCCACCGGAAACGGUGAUUAAUACCGGAUAUGACCACUCUAGGCAUCUAGUGGUGGUGGAAAGUUUUUCGGUCCAGGAUGUGCUCG